UAUCAAUAAGCGGAGGAAAAGAAACUAACCAGGAUUCCCCGCGAGUGAAGAGGGAUCAGCCCAAAUUUGUAAUCUGGCUCUUUUCAGAGUCUGAGUUGUAAUUUUGAGAACUGUUUUCUGCUCUGGACCAUGUACAAGUCUGUUGAAAUGCAGCAUCAUUGAGGGUGAGAAUCCUGUUCAUGAUAUGGACUACCAGAGCUUUAUGAUAUAGUCUCUAAGAGUCGAGUUGUUUGGGAAUGCAGCUCAAAGUGGGUGGUAAAUUCCAUCUAAGGCUAAAUAUUGGUGAGAGACCGAUAGCAAACAAGUACCGUGAGGGAAAGAUGAAAAGAACUUUGGAAAGAGAGUUAACAGUACGUGAAAUUGUUAAAAGGGAAACAGUUGAAGUUAGACUUGUUGUUGUUGGUUCAGCUCUUUUAAGGGUGUUUUUAAUAAUUAACAAACCAAUGUCAAUUUUUGGGUGUUGGAUAAGGGUUAUUGAAAUGUAGCAGUUUUGGCUGUGUUAUAGUCUUUGACUUGGAUACAAUGCUUAGGAUUGAGGAUUGCAGUAAGCCAUUUAUUUGGUGGAACAAUUUAUUGUUCUUCUUGCUGAGGAUAUUGGUGAAAUAGCUUUAAUUGACCCGU
rnacentral:rRNA from 1 species